AAACACAAAAUGGUUCUUGCUCAGCUAGAACAGCAGAUAACACAGCUUGAAAGGGACCUUACAGAUGCCAGGAAACUUUGUAGUCAGAAAGAUCAGGUAUGCUCUUGUGAUGAGGGGAAAAAAAUAGAGCAAAUAGCUAUCUCUUUAAAAAAUCACAUAGCAAAAGAGAGUGAAAGAAGCUGGGAUGUGUACCACUUCAUAUAUAUUUGUUAUGAAUACCAAAGAAGGAGAGAGAAAAGGCAUCCUAUUUUAUCACAAAUUUUGAAAUAUGCAAAAGAGAUGACCUUCUGAGGAAAUCCAAAGCGGCUCUCCUGCAGGCAAGGGAAGAUAUCAAAGCUGAAGUGGCUGAGGUGGAGCACUUUGACAGACUGGUCAAGCAGCUGAAAGCAACUGCUGAGGACACUCAGCAAGAAUGAAUCUGAAAGAGAGAAAAGCCAUUCUAUUUAGAGCUGAGGUUCAGCAGCCCAAGAAUUUGCCAGUCAGGAUGAAAAACUUCUAAUGGAAUCCAGCUUGAAAGCCAGUCAAGGACUGCUAAGUGAGCAAGAGGCAGAAACACGUCGCCCAGACCAGUAGAAAAAUCACAGGCUGAGCUGAAGCCACUGAGAGAACGCAUUAUAGAUUCUCAUGAAGAAAUUAGUGAUUACAAGUGAGUUACUGUUUGUUUUGAUGUUACAGGAAGGGUUGAAAGCUAGCCAGAAUUCAGCAAUAAUUCUUUUAGCUCUGUGCUGUAGGGUUUGUAGUGCUCAGGUGGUGUGUUUUGUAACUGUCUUUGACUAAUUUAUUGAUUAAAUCAAGUAUCAAGUAGUUGAUAAAUUCAGUUUACAAACAGCUUUUCAGUUUCUUAAAAAAUC